GACGAACGCUGGCGGCACGCCUAACACAUGCAAGUCGAACGGACUUACAAGAGCUUGCUUUUUUAAGUUAGUGGCGGACGGGUGAGUAACACGUGAGCAACCUGCCUCUGAGAGGGGGAUAGCUUCUGGAAACGGAUGGUAAUACCCCAUAAAAUAUAAAUAUCGCAUGAUAGAUAUAUCAAAGAAAUUCGCUCAGAGAUGGGCUCGCGUCUGAUUAGCUUGUUGGUGAGGUAACGGCUCACCAAGUCGACGAUCAGUAGCCGGACUGAGAGGUUGAACGGCCACAAUGGGACUGAGACACGGCCCAGAAUCCUACGGGAGGGAGCAGUGGGGAAUAUUGCACAAUGGAGGGAACUCUGAUGCAGCGAUGCCGCGUGGAGGAAGAAGGUUUUCGGAUUGUAAACUCCUUUUAUCAGGGACGAUAAUGACGGUACCUGAAGAAAAAGCACCGGCUAACUACGUG
rnacentral:rRNA from 1 species